rnacentral:tRNA from 1 species
GGUUCCUUUUUUUAGGGUACCCCCGGAACAGAUCCAGUGGAGACGGGGUGGGGCCUGUAGCUCAGAGGAUUA